AGGUCACUGCUAUUGGGAUUCGACUAAGCCAUGCGAGUCGUGAGGGUUCGGCCCUCGGCAGACGGCUCAGUAACACGUAGAUAAUUUGCCCUUAGGUGGAGGAUACCCUCGGGAAACUGAGAAUAAUACUCCAUAGAUCUAGACUGCUGGAAUGCUUUUAGAUUGAAAGAUUUAUCGCCUAAGGAUAAGUCUGCGGACUAUCAGGUUGUAGUCAGGGUAACUACCUGACUAGCCUACGACGGAUACGGGUAGUGAGAGCUUUAGCCCGGAGAUGAUAUCUGAGACACGAUAUCAGGCCCUACGGGGCGCAGCAGGCGCGAAAACUUCGCACUGUGCGAAAGCACGACGAGGGAAUCCCAAGUGCUGGCUCGUAAGAGUCAGCUGUUUCUCUGUCUAAAAAACAGAGAGAGUAAGGGCUGGGUAAGACGGGUGCCAGCCGCCGCGGUAAUACCUGCAGCUCAAGUGGUGGCCGCUAUUAUUGGGCCUAAAACGUCCGUAGCCGGUUCUAUAAAUGCCUGGGUAAAUCGUACGGCUUAACCGUACGAAUUCCGGGUAGACUGUUCAACUUGGGACCGGGAGAGGCUAGAGGUACUCCUGGGGUAGAGGUGAAAUUCUGUAAUCCUAGGGGGACCACCAGUGGCGAAGGCGUCUAGCUAGAACGGGUCUGACGGUGAGGGACGAAGCCCUGGGGAGCAAACGGGAUUAGAUACCCCGGUAGUCCAGGGUGUAAACGCUGCUCGCUUGAUGUUAGUCGGGCUCCGAGCCCAACUAGUGUCGGAGAGAAGUUGUUAAGCGAGCUGCCUGGGGAGUACGGUCGCAAGACUGAAACUUAAAGGAAU
rnacentral:rRNA from 1 species